rnacentral:rRNA from 1 species
CCUACGGGGGGCAGCAGUGGGGAAUAUUGGACAAUGGGGGGAACCCUGAUCCAGCCAUGCCGCGUGUGUGAAGAAGGCCCUCGGGUUGUAAAGCACUUUCAGUGAGGAAGAACGCCUGGUGGUUAAUACCCAUCAGGAAAGACAUCACUCACAGAAGAAGCACCGGCUAACUCCGUGCCAGCAGCCGCGGUAAUACGGAGGGUGCGAGCGUUAAUCGGAAUUACUGGGCGUAAAGCGCGCGUAGGUGGCUUGAUAAGCCGGUUGUGAAAGCCCCGGGCUCAACCUGGGAACGGCAUCCGGAACUGUCAAGCUAGAGUGCAGGAGAGGAAGGUAGAAUUCCCGGUGUAGCGGUGAAAUGCGUAGAGAUCGGGAGGAAUACCAGUGGCGAAGGCGGCCUUCUGGACUGACACUGACACUGAGGUGCGAAAGCGUGGGUAGCAAACAGGAUUAGAUACCCUAGUAGUC